ensembl:lncRNA
GCAAACCUUUCCCCCUAGUCUUUGGCUGACAUUCUAAACUUAGCUGUUAGACAAGAACAAUCUUGAAUUGCUCAAAAUACACAUGCAACACACUCACACUCACACUCCCACACACACACGCACACACACACACAUACAUACAUAUUUAUACACACACAAACUCACACUCACACACACAUUUUAAUGACUAAGACAGACUGUGGACCCUGGAAACAAAAGAGGGAAGGAAUUGAAAGAGGACGGUAAAAAGGAAAGAAUGAUGAAGAGUGAUGAAGUGUGUAGAGUCAUCUUGUGGGACUGAUCUCAGGCAAGAGGUUGUGAGAGCUGCUAAGAUGAACCAAGCUGUGUAAGAUGAGGACAAUGUUCUGUCUGGAGUCAGCCGAAUCAAUCCUCAUCACCAUUCAGCCCACCGAACCGGAUUGGUCUUCCUGGGAGUCCGACCCAGGCUCCGAGGCAGCCUCUGCCCUCCCCGACUCAGGAGAGACGUCUCCCCCCCUUUGGCAGAGAGCUUCAAACGGAGCAGCUGGGAGAGGUCUGUGGGGAGUCAGGAGGAUUGAGGGCUAUUUCUGAUCAACACAGCAUUACAUACACUGCUGGGCAAGGGAAGAGACCAAAAUACUCGGUGUGAUGCGGGAAAGCAUUUGAUUCUGUUUGGAUUAAAGAGGUACAUUCUCCACAAGUGGGGGAGUCUUACUGUCUUUCACGUGUUCUCUUAUAGAAAACCCCUAGAAAAGGAAGCUUGUGUGUGUGUGAAUAUGAGAGUGAGAGAGACACAUGAGUAUGAAUGAGAGAUAGAAUGUGUUUGUGUGAGAGAAUAACAUCUGUGACGGGAAGACGUGUGUGUGUGUGUGUGUGUGUGUGUGUGUGUGUGUGUGUGUGUGUGUGUGUGUGUGUGAGGGAGAGAGAGAGAGAGAAAGAGAGAAACGGGGGGGGGGGGGGCAGAGAGCGAGAACCCAAUGUAAGGAAAACAUGAGUAAAAAUGGUAUGUAUGAGCAUCUGCACACAUGUACUGUACUUCACUGCAUGUGUGCUUCAGACUGAAGGGUCCUGGCUUGCUCUGGGCUUGUUUGGGCCCUGGCUUUAUUGCCCAGGAGACGUGAACAGACCAGACGCUGCUUGCGUUCAUUUCACUUCACAGUAGAGGGGAGAUAAAUCACUUGCCUGACAACAGUCAAUCUCUCCACCAUACCCGCUGUUAGAACCUGGCUUCCUAUGCACAAGUCUGGACAGCUCUGGAACAGGCCUGUGCUAAGGCACAAGAAAGACAACACGGUGAAGAUUGCGCAUAUACUGCUGACGUUGUUGGAGAAGUUGGAUCUCCAUGCUGGAGAUGAUAUAAGUGAA